UAUCUCUCCAUUUUUUGUGUUCUAGUUUCGAAAUCAAUCUGAUCUGAUAGGCUUAAGAUUUCAAUUAUGUUCUGAUUAGUUUUGAUCUCUUUAAAUCAUUGGUUGAGUUUGAAUUUGUUCUGAGAAUUGUCUAAAGUUUUAAGCUUCAAUUUGAAUCUCUGAUUUUUGCAAAUUGGUUGUUUGUUUUCUCUGUAGAACUAUUUACUGGCUUAGUCUUUCUCUUGUCUCAGGUACCAUGCCAGGAGAUCAAAAAGGAGAACUCAGCAAGAAAGAAAAGCUUUUUCUUGAAGAAUUCACAGCCAGUAUGGAUAAAGCCUGCAAAGAUCAAUUGAGAAAAUUCAGACAAGACAUACAGCAGCAAAGGAAAGGCAGAUCAUCCAGAGAUGAGUACAAGAAAAAGGAGUUUGAUCAGAUGGACAGAAACUGGAAGCAUGCUGGAUUGAAAUAUCAAAUUCCUUCUUUUCAUGGCAAGGCUGAUCCUGAAGCUUAUGUGAAGUGGGAAAAGAAGAUUGAGUUGAUUUUCAGUAGUCAAUACUAUGCUGAAAAAAAGAAGAUUCAAAUGGCUACUGCUGAGUUUUGUGGUCAUGCUUUAAGAUGGUGGAAUCAGUUGGUAAAGUGCAGAAGACUUGAUGGAAAAGAACCAGUGGAAACAUGGCUUAAGCUGAGGGCUUUGAUGCGUAGAGAGUACGUUCCAAGACAGUACCACAAGGAAGUUAUUCAAAAGCAGCCUGAGACAAAGCUAUGUUCUUCAUUAUCAGUUCAGAAACAACCAGACAGCAAGAGAUCAAGUCCAUAUAGUAACCUGGUUUCAUCAAGCAAAACAUCAACCCAUUCCUUUGAAGAUAGCAUAAGGAAGGCAAUUUCACAAGCGUUUAGGGAUGUGGAGAAACAAUUUAAACAGUCCAAGACUAUAUCUCCAUCCUUAGAAGUACAGAACCAAGCGCCUUCCUCAACUGUCUCAGAACUCAAAGAUGCAGAACCAGACUCAGUUUCACAAUCAGACUUGGCUGCACUAGUUCAAGAAGAUCAAACCGAGAUUCCAACAAUCACCAUUCAGAAAGAUGAUCAACCCAUCAAGGACGACCUGAUUCUCUUCAAACAUGAUGUAAUAGAAGAGGAGGCACCCAUGGCAUCAAAAUCAGACAGUGGAGUAGAGCAUCUAUUUGUCACUGAUUCAAACGGUUUCCAAAGGACAUUCUUGGGUACUUUUCUCAUCAGUCCUUUUGUGUGGAACAAGACCAGAGCAGUAGAGCUUUCAAGACACGAACUGGGCAUGGAACAUGUUGUAUUUGAGCCUGGAGGAGAGUUGUGGAAUCACAGGAACAAUCCCAUAGUGAUUGAGAAGAAAUCGGCAGCAACAACAAUUGUUUUUGGUGAUCUUUCACCCUCUGAAGCUAAAGGGAUGCACGUCUCAGCUCAGCAAGAGUUUCACUACGAAACCAAUUGGAGAAUGUUACCCACUCUUUCCUGGAUCCAACAAACAAGAAAACGCAGCAAAUGGCCUCCUGAUCAUCAAGAUAUUGUCAAUUCCGCAAGACAUAUCGGUUUAGCCAAAUUCUGUGAGCUGCUUAUAUCAGAUUGGGGUGGAAGGUUACGGUUCUACUUGUGGAAAACUGGAGCAUAUGCCAGCAUACUUAUCAUCCUUGGAGAGUGCUCUGCUCGUGGUAGAACCAGUUGGGGUAAUAAAGAGUUGGAAGCUGAUCAAAAUGCCUUGCUUCUUGAUCAUGUCAAGGUGUGGAAGCCACCAGAUUUGCAAAAGCUUCAAUACCAUUUCAGAGAUUGUCAAACCAAGAGUGGAGAUGGAGAUUUCACUAGAGUAAAUGGUGAAGUGAUUACUGGAAUAGGAGGAGAACUCAUGUUUUCUUCUCAAAUCAAAGAGAAACCACCAGAUGGACUCAGUCUACAUCAAUCUCCAAAUAAAUCAGCCCGAGGUAAUUAUCUAGAUUCAAAGAAACGCAUGAAACCUGAUUUGCUUUAUAUUGGUACAGGUCAAACAGUUUUGAGUGCUAUACUUUUCGAAAGGAGAGGCUAUAGUAAUAAUCAGAGUAUCAAGAAUGGAUCCUUGGCUAAGUUGGAGAUGCAACAAUCAAAUCUUGGAAGCUGUCUAGCCGCCAACUUUGACAUAGGAGCAGUCCGAGGAUCAUAUCUCAGCAACCACAAGGAAUUAAUCAACAAACUCGACUGCUAUGGAAACUUAAAUCAUCAGGGUCUCACGUCGAAUUGGAUUCAUGUCCAAAGCUUCUCAGGUGAAAGAGUUAUGGGUUCUACAAGUCAGGUGAUCUUCUGUGUGCUUUGUUUGAAUUUUUCUGAGUUCAGAAAAUCUCAAUCCUAUCUAUGGCGACCAGGUGAGCAUGCUAAGGUAAUUGAUCAUGUUUUCAAGAAUUAUUUUAGUAUUGAUUACACAGAUAUGAUGCACUUGUUUUUGUCAAAAGAGCCAUGUGCAGAUUAUAAGGAAGCUUGGAAGCAUACAAGGAGAAAGAACAAGCAUGAGGAAGAUAAGAGAUUUAAACCACCUGAUCUGGAUCAGCAUAACCAUGAAGACAUCUCUGGUUUUAUCCUCAUCAAAGAAGCUCCCCCAGAUGCAGCCUACAAUCCAAAACCGAGCAAAAACCGAUUUGGGAUAAGACUCUUACUCUUUGAUAAAUUUUCAUUUGCUAACUUGUUGUGUUUCAAUGAGUUUGAAUCAGGUUUUAGGUAUGCAUCAUGAGUAUGGAUAACCCAACAGAUCAGUCCCUUCUACAUUACAGAACCAAUCAGCAACAACGCCUAUCAAAGAGGCUUGCAAGGUAAAACAGAUUUGAGGACAAAUCUUUUUCAAGAGGGAGGGAAUGAUAUGAUUCUGGACCAGCUUACCAAUGAAGAAAAUGUGAUCAUGGACCAGCUUGUAGAUGAAGAUGCCCUAGCCAUUCCUGAAGGUCCCAACACUUGUUCCAGAUCAAAGAAACUCAAUGAAGCUGAUGGAGGAAUACUCAAGAUGUCAAGGAAGCAAGAAGAUUGUCUUGGUUGCAGCUUGAUCAACCAAGACACACUCAUCACAAUUCAAGCUACUCCACCUUCAAGCUGAUCAUCAUCUAAGCAAGUAGCUUGUGUGUGCUCUUUUCCUAACCUUUGGUUUUGUCCCACUGGGUUUUCCAAAGGAAGGUUUUUAACGAGGCCACAAGUUUACUUUCACAUCUCCUAGAUGAUGAUCCCGGACCAACCACAUUAUCUAUCUUAUGUUAUUUUUAUCCUAUGUUUUAUGUUUUGAAUAAUUUCGAAAACUUGGUCUUUGUUUAGUUUCCAAGGCAGCCUGUUCCCUUUAUUUUUAUUUCUAUUUUCGAGACCUUGUGCAUGUACAAGGGCCUCUCUUUAUAUUCUGGUCGUGACCCCCCUUUAUGAUUAAGCAAUCUUUU